rnacentral:lncRNA from 1 species
AUGGAUGUGCAAAGAAGGCAAAAUGUCUCUGAGACUCUUCAAUUCAGGAGACUACUGAUCAGACACUUGUGUCUAAAAUUCACCAUGCUUUAUGCACAAGGUUGGCCCCUGCUAUGCUUCUCAUUGUGUGAUCUUUCUGUGACUGUGUCUUAUAGGUGAGUUAAGCCUCCUUCCUCAUUAGCUUGUUAUCUUGUUAACACUACAGUGAGCACUGGUGGCCCUUGGUCUCUCUCAUACCGUGGCACCUAAACUAUGUCCUUGAGAUGAAAAUGGUUUUCUGGAUCAUUUUUGAAGGGAGGCUCCUGUUUUGGACUCCACCCUUCAGCUUUGAAUUGGGACCAGCUGGGAGACUGUAACUUCUAAAUCACCAUGAUUUCAUCUUUUGUUCUUCCCUGCCUCAGCUGUCUCAGCAGUCUCAACAGUGAAUUGCAGGAAGAGGAAGAGAAUGACCUCCAGCUGGAUGAAAAAUAUUUUCAGUACUCUGGUCAUCCUAAUUCAUGUGACACACAAGAACUUGUCGGAAGCUCUGUGUUCCCAUCACAUGAGCCUAAAGUCAGCUCUACUGUGGAUGGAAACAAACUGAAUUUGAAUACUUGCAUUGAACUGCAGAACCCUCCCAAGCUUGAGGGUGAUGCCCUUAAAGGCUUGGCUGUCAAAACACCUGGAUGUGAGCUGAAUGUCCUCACUGAUACUAUGAGUGUCCUGAAACAGAAGAUCAUGAAAAGAAAACAGCUCUUCUGCAAGUGGAGAAUGGCAUGCAGAUUCCCAGGACUUCAAGCUUUGGCAUUCCCAAUGGUGAACUGCAGGAGGAAAAAGAGGAUGACCUCCUGCUGGGGAAAACUUAUUUUCUACCCUUGGAUCAUCCUAAUUUAUCUAACACACAAGAACUUGUCAGAAACACUGUCUUCCCAUCAGCUGAGCCUAAAGUCAGUUCUGCUGUGGAUGAAGCCAAGCAUGUCCUCAAUGAUGCCACAGGUGUCUGCAAACAAAAGAUAA